UCUAGACGAUACGUUAAGUGACGUGUCCACACAGAUUGUCUGAUAACUGUCACGAGCAAAGCAGCCCGUCGGCGGCUUUUUCCUGUUCGCCCGGCGAGCAAGGUAAGCGCCAUUGGCGGCUGAGCGAAGUUACCACCGCUUUUGCGGUCAGGGUUGCCCGCUUGCCUUACUGAAAGCAGUGCUUCCCCGCCAAAGUAUCGCGGUGCGUUGCCCGCGUUUUACGAGUCCCCUUCGUCUAGUGGCCUAGGACACUGCCCUUUCACGGCGGUAACAGGGGUUCGAACCCCCUAGGGGACGCCACUUUGCUUUCUAUUUCAGAGCGCGUUUAUCAAGCGCGCUGCGAAAUACCGCUCUUUAACAAUCCGGAACAAGCUGAAAAUUUGAAACACAUGCUGAAGUGCAAACUCAGUAUGCGAAUCUCUCAAACGAAGUAAGCAAACCUGAGAUAACGCGCAAGCGUUAUCACUGUACUGCGACAGGCACUGUCGUUUCCGCGCGGUCUUCACAGACUACGCCGGGGCGAGAGUGAGCGAGCGGUGACAGGGCAAGGCGCACGGCACGCAGGCACCGUAGUGGACGUGAUGUCCAUGAGGAUGCCGAGUACCGCGCAACGCCGGAUUUCGGUCGUGCAGCCCGUCGGACAAGGUGCAAACAGCUCAGGGUUGUGA
rnacentral:misc_RNA from 1 species